UUUCCUACGGGGGGCUGCAGUGGGGAAUAUUGCACAAUGGGCGGAAGCCUGAUGCAGCGACGCCGCGUGGGGGAUGACGGUCUUCGGAUUGUAAACUCCUUUCAGUAGGGACGAAGCGAGAGUGACGGUACCUGCAGAAGAAGCACCGGCCAACUACGUGCCAGCAGCCGCGGUAAUACGUAGGGUGCGAGCGUUGUCCGGAAUUACUGGGCGUAAAGAGCUCGUAGGCGGUUUGUCACGUCGUCUGUGAAAUCCUCCAGCUCAACUGGGGGCGUGCAGGCGAUACGGGCUGACUUGAGUACUACAGGGGAGACUGGAAUUCCUGGUGUAGCGGUGAAAUGCGCAGAUAUCAGAAGGAACACCGGUGGCGAAGGCGGGUCUCUGGGUAGUAACUGACGCUGAGGAGCGAAAGCAUGGGGAGCAAACAGGAUUAGAUACCCGAGUAGUCAA
rnacentral:rRNA from 1 species